rnacentral:rRNA from 1 species
GUCCAUGCCGUAAACGAUGAUUACUAGGUGUUGGGGGAGUUGACCCCCUCCAGUGCCGCAGUUAACACAAUAAGUAAUCCACCUGGGGAGUACGACCGCAAGGUUGAAACUCAAAGGAAUUGACGGGGGCCCGCACAAGCAGUGGAGUAUGUGGUUUAAUUCGAAGCAACGCGAAGAACCUUACCAGGUCUUGACAUCCGAUGCAUAGCACAGAGAUGUGUGAAAUCCUUCGGGACAUCGAGACAGGUGGUGCAUGGUUGUCGU